ACUCUACUUCCUCCACCCACCUGCCUGCCUGUGUCUCCGUCUUUCUUUCUACCUCACUCUGUCUCCGCACCCUUGUCGCUCAACUAUUCGAAGGUUUCCCACCUGUGGCGUCCUAUCAGCUCCGCACCGAUGGUUGCAGAAAGAAAUUAAACUGAGCUGACCUAAAAAACUGAAGAAGAAUAAGUGGCGCAGAUGAGGAGAUAGAAGAAGAGUGAAAGCAGGAGGAGGGAGACAAAAAAGAAGAGAGGUGGAAGACAAAAGAAAAAGACAGUCAUGAUUCACUCAAAUCACUCCAUCCGGUCAAUCAUCUGCUGCUGCUGUGCUGUUCAGACCAGGGAGUUCAGCACUCGUGUGGAGCUGGAGAGCAGAACCUCCCUUUGUUUCCCAAACCGACGGUAUUCAGGACAACCCA
rnacentral:lncRNA from 1 species